rnacentral:tRNA from 1 species
GGUAAUAGUUAAAUAUAACAUUUGAUUUGCAUUCAAAAGGUGUUGAAUAAUCAACUUACCUU